UUUUUCUCACUUUUGGUUCUAUUUUUUUCUAUUUUAAGUUACAGUUAGUAUAUAAUUACAGCUUCAACAUAUAAUGAAGUAUAUUAAAACAUGUAUUUGAAUUCCAGUCCCUUUCUUGUAUCUCCCAGGUCUUUCUCUUCAGCUUUAUCAUUAAAUAUGGUAAGCUGUGGUCCUGAUGCUGUAAUUUAAAUAUACAAUAAAUAAAAAAAUAAAAUAAAAAGCCCUUAUUCCUCCCAAGGCCUAAUGACUAUUACAGAAGAGUGGACAGAAAGAUCCAAAGAACCCCAAAGAUCAAGAAGGAGAGAAAGCAUCUUGUAGGUGUGACAGUAUAAAUGAACCCAUGAACUCGCAGUAGCUGCAGUUGCCUGCACAAUAUUAAACCAGUGAACAUCCAAGCAUGGAGGAGGGAGCAGCUUAUAACCCCCACCUUGUGUAUAGCUUUUGACAGAUGGUGACUUCUGGAGAGGGAGUGUCAGCUUCCUUAAGUGUGGCCUCUGCUCCUGUGGUCAUGCUCCUGUGGAUGGUGUCAUACCCUGAAUAUAUGGGCAGCAUAUAAUGGACUCUGUAAUGGAAAAAACAAAACAAAACCAACCAAACAAAAACAACCCAAAACAUGAAUAUGGGAGAAAGAGGGGAAUUCAGUUCAGCGUAUGGGUGGGUCCUCGAGGAGUUUUGGGAUGGAUUGGGUUAUGAGUUGAUUAUAUUAACAUUAUACAUUAUAUGCAUGUGUAAAAUUCUCAGAGAACAAAAAUACUGAUAAUAAUCUUAACUACACAGUCGUACUUAUUAUUUCUUUAUUGUUUAGAACCACAGGUAAUUAGUGGUGUUCUACAAUAUCCAGCAACGCAGAUUACAUGACAUUUUCAGAAAGUCCUACUGUCCAACAUCCUUAGGGAACCAUUGAAAACCAGUACAGAGAAGUCUAGCCUAUAAUGUUAAAUAUUCU
rnacentral:lncRNA from 1 species